UACGUAGGGGGCGAGCGUUACCCGGAAUCACUGGUCGUAAAGGGAGCGUAGGUGGCCUGACAUGUCGACUGUGAAAACCCGGAGCUCAACUCCGGACUUGCAGUGGGUACGGGCAGACUAGAGUGUGGUAGGGGAGACUGGAAUUCCUGGUGUAGCGGUGAAAUGCGCAGAUAUCAGGAGGAACACCGAUGGCGAAGGCAGGUCUCUGGGCCACUACUGACGCUGAGAAGCGAAAGCAUGGGGAGCGAACAGGAUUAGAUA
rnacentral:rRNA from 1 species